UGGCGAACGGGUGAGUAACGCGUGAGGAACCUGCCUCAAAGAGGGGGAUAACAGUUAGAAAUGACUGCUAAUACCGCAUAAGCGCACAGGACCGCAUGGUGUAGUGUGAAAAACUCCGGUGGUAUGAGAUGGACCCGCGUCUGAUUAGGUAGUUGGUGGGGUAAAGGCCUACCAAGCCGACGAUCAGUAGCCGACCUGAGAGGGUGACCGGCCACAUUGGGACUGAGACACGGCCCAAACUCCUACGGGAGGCAGCAUG
rnacentral:rRNA from 1 species